rnacentral:rRNA from 1 species
GACGAACGCUGGCGGCGUGCUUAACACAUGCAAGUCGAGCGGUGCGGCGAACGGGUGAGUAACGGGUGAGUAAGUGCCCCCCUCUCUGGGAUAACAGUUGGAUACGGCUGCUAGUACCGGAUAGUGGGGGAUGACUCGUGGCCUACCAGCUUGUUGGUGGGGUAGUGGCCUACCAAGGCGGCGACGGGUAGCCGGCCUGCGAGGGUGACCGGCCACAUUGGGCUGAGAUACGGCCCAGACUCCGACGGGAGGCAGCAGUGGGGAAUAUUGCACAAUGGGGGGAACCCUGAUGCAGCGACGCCGCGUGGGGGAUGACGGCCUUCGGGUUGUAAACCGCUUUCAACAAGGACGCGGUACUGGCAGAAGAAGCACCGGCUAACUACGUGCCAGCAGCCGCGGUAAUUC